rnacentral:rRNA from 1 species
CCAAUUAAGUCAAAUGUGAAAUCCCCCGAGCUUUAACUUGGGAAAUUGCAUUUCGAUACUGGUUGGCUAGAGUAUGGGAGAGGAAUGGUAGAAUUCCAGGUGUAGCGGUGAAAUGCGUAGAGAUCUGGAGGAAUACCGAUGGCGAAGGCAGCCAUCUGGCAUAAUACUGACGCUGAGGUACGAAAGCAUGGGGAGCAAACAGGAUUAGAUACCCUGGUAGUCCAUGCCGUAAACGAUGUCUACUAGCCGUUGGGGCCCUUGAGGCUUUAGUGGCGCAGCUAACGCGAUAAGUAGACCGCCUGGGGAGUACGGUCGCAAGACUAAAACUCAAAUGAAUUGACGGGGGCCCGCACAAGCGGUGGAGCAUGUGGUUUAAUUCGAUGCAACGCGAAGAACCUUACCUGGCCUUGACAUACAGAGAACUUUCCAGAGAUGGAGUGGUGCCUUCGGGACUUCUGAUACAGGUGCUGCAUGGCUGUCGUCAGCUCGUGUCGUGAGAUGUUGGGUUAAGUCCCGCAACGAGCGCAACCCUUUUCCUUAUUUGCCAGCACUUCGGGUGGGAACUUUAAGGAUACUGCCAGUGACAAACUGGAGGAAGGCGGGGACGACGUCAAGUCAUCAUGGCCCUUACGGCCAGGGCUACACACGUGCUACAAUGGUCGGUACAAAGGGUUGCUACACAGCGAUGUGAUGCUAAUCUCAAAAAGCCGAUCGUAGUCCGGAUUGGAGUCUGCAACUCGACUCCAUGAAGUCGGAAUCGCUAGUAAUAGCGGAUCAAAAUUCCCCGUGGUAUAGUUUGAUCGUCGCUCUGGAUAAGUCGUAACAAGGUAACCAUGCUAGAGUUUGAUCCUGGCUCAGGAUAAGUCGUAACAAG